rnacentral:ncRNA from 2 species
AACUCAUCAUGAGUGGGCGAGAGAACGGCUUGAUGACCCCACGGCAACCCCCGGAGCGCCGGGAAGGUGCCAAAUCCGCCAGAUUUCUGGAAGAUGAGAU